GAUGAACGCUGGCGGCGUGCUUAACACAUGCAAGUCGAACGGAAAGGCCCAAGCUUGCUUGGGUACUCGAGUGGCGAACGGGUGAGUAACACGUGGGUGAUCUGCCCUGCACUUCGGGAUAAGCCUGGGAAACUGGGUCUAAUACCGGAUAGGACGAUGGUUUGGAUGCCAUUGUGGAAAGUUUUUUCGGUGUGGGAUGAGCUCGCGGCCUAUCAGCUUGUUGGUGGGGUAAUGGCCUACCAAGGCGUCGACGGGUAGCCGGCCUGAGAGGGUGUACGGCCACAUUGGGACUGUGAUACGGCCCAGACUCCUACGGGAGGCAGCAGUGGGGAAUAUUGCACAAUGGGCGCAAGCCUGAUGCAGCGACGCCGCGUGGGGGAUGACGGCCUUCGGGUUGUAAACUCCUUUCGCUAGGGACGAAGCGUUUUUGUGACGGUACCUGGAGAAGAAGCACCGGCUAACUACGUG
rnacentral:rRNA from 1 species